UGUGUUUUUGAGGGCAGAAAAUGGUGAACUUUGUGUUGGAAUUCGUAGGGCGAAAAGAGGUGGUAUUGGUGGGCCUGAAGCCCCAUCUGGAUGGAACUCUGGUGCUGGAAAUUAUGGUGGAUUUUCUGCGUUUUUGAGGGAAGAGAUGAGCAAAAAUGGAAAUUUGACUUCUCCUACUAGGAGCUUAAGGGGAAAGGGAAGGGUGAGGCCUGAAUCAGUUGUUGAAGCUGCAUAUCUUGCUUCUAGUGGGCAGCCUUUUGAAGUUGUUUAUUAUCCCCGUGCAAACACACCAGAAUUUUGUGUUAGGGCAUCUUCAGUGAAUGCUGCAAUGAGGAUUCAAUGGUGCUCAGGAAUGAGGUUCAAAAUGGCUUUUGAAACUGAGGAUUCUUCUCGAAUCAGUUGGUUCAUGGGAACUAUAUCCUCCAUUCAACUUGCUGAUCCCAUCCGCUGGCCCAAUUCGCCAUGGAGGCUUCUUCAGGUGGCAUGGGAUGAACCUGAUUUAUUGCAAAACGUAAAACAUGUCAGCCCAUGGCUUGUCGAAUUGGUCUCAAAUAUGCCAGUCAUUCACCUCUCGCCCUUCUCACCGCCAAGAAAAAAGCUGCGUCUACCACCAGAUUUCUCACUUGACAGCCAGUUUCAGUUACCAUCUUUUUCAGGCAACCCCCUCAGGUCCAG
rnacentral:misc_RNA from 1 species